rnacentral:rRNA from 1 species
UACGUAGGGGGCAAGCGUUGUCCGGAAUCAUUGGGCGUAAAGAGCGUGUAGGCGGUCCGUUAAGUCGGCUGUGAAAGUCCAGGGCUCAACCCUGGGAUGCCGGCCGAUACUGGCGGACUAGAGUCCGGAAGAGGUGAGUGGAAUUCCCGGUGUAGCGGUGAAAUGUGUAGAGAUCGGGAGGAACACCGGUGGCGAAGGCGGUCUUCUGGACGGUGACUGACGCUGAGGCGCGAAAGCGUGGGGAGCAAACGGG